rnacentral:rRNA from 1 species
AACGAACGCUGGCGGCAGGCUUAACACAUGCAAGUCGAACGCAUCGCAAGAUGAGUGGCAGACGGGUGAGUAACGCGUGGGAAUCUACCCAUUUCUGCGGAAUAGCUCUGGGAAACUGGAAUUAAUACCGCAUACGCCCUACGGGGCAAAGAUUUAUCGGGGAUGGAUGAGCCCGCGUUGGAUUAGCUAGUUGGUGGGGUAAAGGCCUACCAAGGCGACGAUCCAUAGCUGGUCUGAGAGGAUGAUCAGCCACAUUGGGACUGAGACACGGCCCAAACUCCUACGGGAGGCAGCAGUGUGGAAUAUUGGACAAUGGGCGCAAGCCUGAUCCAGCCAUGCCGCGUGAGUGAUGAAGGCCUUAGGGUUGUAAAGCUCUUUCACCGAUGAAGAUAAUGACGGUAGUCGGAGAAGAAGCCCCGGCUAACUUCGUGCCAGCCGCCGCGGUAA